rnacentral:ncRNA from 1 species
GAAAAGUUUGAUCCUAGCUUCAAAUUGAAUUUUUUAUAUUUUACACAUGUAUGUAAAGGCAGUGUUUAAGAUUAUUAGAUAUUUGAAAUAAAAAUUUAAUUUCGGCCGGAUGACGGAGGGUGCCAGCAUCUGCGGUUACACCUGAGGCUUACAUUUAAGUUUAGUUUAUUUAAUUUUUAAUUUCAAUUAUUUAUAUUCUUUUUUUAUGGUGAAAUGUUAAUUUAGUUAAAUUUUAUUUAAAAAUUUAAUUAUUAGUUUAUAGAAAUUGACCAGGAUUAGAUACCCUGUUAUUUUAAAUAUUUAUUAAGUAGUAAUUUUAUGAAACUUAAAAGAUUUGGCGGUAGAAUAUCUUUUCAGAGGAACCUGUAUUUUAAUAGAAGCUACACUAUUGGUUUUACUUAAAUUUAUUUUAUAUACCGCUGUAUUAAAAAUUAAUUAAUAAUUUAAUUUAAAUAGAUAAWAUUUUAUUUAAUUCAAGUCAAGGUUUAAUUUAUAUUUAAGUUAAUAUGUGUUACGAUAAUUAAAAUUAUGGUUUAAAUUGGAUUUGAGAGUAAUUUUUAAUUUUAGAUUUGAAUUUAGUUCUGUUUUAUGUACAUAUCGCCCGUCGCUCUAGUUUUAAAAUUAGAUAAGUCGUAACAAAGUAGAUGUUUUGGAAAAAGUAUCUAG